rnacentral:rRNA from 1 species
UACGUAGGGUGCAAGCGUUGCCCGGAUUUAUUGGGCGUAAAGGGCGCGUAGGCGGCUCGGCACGUCCGUUGUGAAAUCGCCCGGCUCAACUGGGCGGGGUCAGCGGAUACGGCCGAGCUUGAGCAAGCUAGGGGGCAAUGGAAUUCCCGGUGUAGUGGUGGAAUGCGUAGAUAUCGGGAGGAACACCGGUGGCGAAGGCGGUUCUCUGGGCCUUACCUGACACUGAGGAGCGAAAGCGUGGGGAGCGAACAGG